GAGCAAUGAUGAAAGGUUUUAUUACUAUGGACCUUUAUAACUGUAAAGGUUUCUACACUUGAUCUGAGCUCA
ensembl:snoRNA